AGCGAACGCUGGCGGCAGGCUUAACACAUGCAAGUCGAGCGGGCGUAGCAAUACGUCAGCGGCAGACGGGUGAGUAACGCGUGGGAACAUACCUCUUGGUUCGGAACAACACAGGGAAACUUGUGCUAAUACCGGAUAAGCCCUUACGGGGAAAGAUUUAUCGCCGAGAGAUUGGCCCGCGUCUGAUUAGCUAGUUGGUAGGGUAAUGGCCUACCAAGGCGACGAUCAGUAGCUGGUCUGAGAGGAUGAUCAGCCACAUUGGGACUGAGA
rnacentral:rRNA from 1 species